rnacentral:tRNA from 1 species
GCUAUUGUGGUGUAGUGGUUUGAGUGCUGGACUACAACUCUGUUGAUCAGGGUUUGAUUCCCUGCUUGACCA